UCCAUUUUAUUUCCCCCCAAAAUUUUCCCCAAACCAUUCUCCCUCCCAUUCUCCCUCCAAACCAACCAUUUCUCCCCCCACCGGCACCGUCGUCGGCGCCGUCAUCUCCUCUCCCCACCGUUACUGCCACCGACGACCCCAAACCCUUUCUCCCGAGAAUCACAUUUCAUUUCCCCCCUUUUUCUCCCCAACCCAUUUUCUUCCCCCACCGGCACCGUGAGUCUUCUCCUCUCCCCACCGUCACUGCCGCCGAUGAGCCCAAAACCACCCCACAGUGCGAUGACCAGCUCUACCACGCCUGGGACCCUCACCGACCCGGCCCAUUGGCAUUGCCGUUAAGGUCAACAGCGCAGACUCCGAUAUCGCCUUCAAUUGCGCCAGGCGGCCUCCACCACGCCAAGAAGGCCAAGGCCUCUUGCUCUUUGAGACUUUUACAAGGUUGAAAAACCAAGGCAAAGUUAGAAAGCCAUUUCAUUUUGAUUUUAUUUCCACAUCUGUCACUUUCUGCUUUGUCUAUUACGUUUCAAUUUCGUUCUCAAAUUUUUCAUGGGCUCUCAAAUUUUUCAUUGCUUAUUCUCUAUUUCAAAUGGGUUGUUGGUAUUUUCUUUGUGAAAAGGAAGCUUCGUUUCUGAGAAAGACCGAGUGAGAAUUAAUGAUAAAAUAUAUGUCCUGGAGUUUUCUAGUGCUUAGCUCUUCUUAUCCUUUCACCUGUUCCAAAAAUCUCCUCUUCAUCAAUGUCUCUCUCAGUGAAUGCAGCAACAUUGGGGGUGAACAUCUUCCAAUGCGCUCUCCAGAUCUUUGGGCUUGUGAGAAGCCUUUUUUUUUUUUUUUUUUGGAGAAUUCAUUCACAUGACAUCAUCUUGUUGGAAUUGUUGAGAUUGAUGAGGUGAAUUACAAGAGGGGAACAUAUCAAAGUAGAGGGUUUGGGUUUAUCACUAUGAGUACUGUAGAAGAAGCUGAGAAGGUUGUGGAGAUGUUCCACCAUUAUCUUCAUCUGAAGGCCAUUCAUGCUGUAUUGCAUCAGUUGUAGUCUUCGGCAUAGCCAUGAUGGGCCUCAACUUCUUGUAUAUUCAAUAUAUCCCUUUGCAUGUUCUGGUUGCACAAAACCCCUUAAUGUAAUCAGACUCAUGGGAUCGCAGGUUCUCAACGUUUUCUAUGAUGAGUUGCUUGGUUGCUUAUUGUAAAUUAUUGGUGUACAAAUUCAUUACUAAAAUGUAUUCAAGUGAUACCCUAAAUAGGCUUAUUUUAUUAUUUUGCAAGUAUUUCGCAUGUUUGCCAAAAGGAAGAGGUUACAUUUUUCCUUUUAUGGGUCAACUGUAAACUAAUGUUGCAAGCUUGUAAAAUUCUCUUUGUUCUGUUUU